GCCAAAGUAGCUGAGUUGGGAAAGCAUUAGACUGAAGAUCUAAAGGUCCCUGAUGCAAUCCCAGGCUUUGGCA